UUGGCGAUAUACUGUCAGCGGCCAAGCGAAAGUAUUAAGUGAUGCACCUGGGGAGUACGCCGGCAACGGUGAAACUCAAAGGAAUUGACGGGGGCCCGCACAAGCGGUGGAGCAUGUGGUUUAAUUCGAUGAUACGCGAGGAACCUUACCAGGGCUUAAAUGUAGUAUGACCGGCUUAGAAAUAGGCCUUCUCUUCGGAGCAGAUUACAAGGUGCUGCAUGGUUGUCGUCAGCUCGUGCCGUGAGGUGUUAGGUUAAGUCCUGCAACGAGCGCAACCCCUAUUCUUAGUUGCCAGCGGUUCGGCCGGGGACUCUAAGAAGACUGCCAGCGCAAGCUGAGAGGAAGGUGGGGAUGACGUCAAAUCAUCACGGCCCUUACGUCCUGGGCUACACACGUGCUACAAUGGUAGAGACAGAGGGCAGCCACCUGGUGACAGGGAGCGAAUCCUUAAACUCUAUCUCAGUUCGGAUCGAAGUCUGCAACUCGACUUCGUGAAGCUGGAAUCGCUAGUAAUCGCGCAUCAGCCAUGGCGCGGUGAAUACGUUCCCGGGCCUUGUACACACCGCCCGUCAAGCCAUGGAAGCUGGGGGCACCUGAAGUCGGUAACCGUAAGGAGCCGCCUAGGGUGAAACUGGUAACUAGGGCU
rnacentral:rRNA from 1 species